rnacentral:rRNA from 1 species
AUUGAACGCUGGCGGAAUGCUUUACACAUGCAAGUCGAACGGCAGCACGGACUUCGGUCUGGUGGCGAGUGGCGAACGGGUGAGUAAUGUAUCGGAACGUGCCCAGGCGUGGGGGAUAACGUAGUGAAAAUUACGCUAAUACCGCAUACGAUCUAUGGAUGAAUGCGGGGGAUCGCAAGACCUCGCGCGAUUGGAGCCGCCGAUAUCAGAUUAGGUAGUUGGUGGGGUAAAGGCCCACCAAGCCAACGAUCUGUAGCUGGUCUGAGAGGACGACCAGCCACACUGGAACUGAGACACGGUCCAGACUCCUACGGGAGGCAGCAGUGGGGAAUUUUGGACAAUGGGCGAAAGCCUGAUCCAGCCAUUCCGCGUGCAGGAUGAAGGCCCUCGGGUUGUAAACUGCUUUUGUACAGAACGAAAAGGUUUCUACUAAUACUAGGAGCUCAUGACGGUACUGUAAGAAUAAGCACCGGCUAACUACGUGCCAGCCGCCGCAGUAA